GAUGAACGCUGGCGGCGUGCCUAAUACAUGCAAGUCGAGCGAACAGACGAGGAGCUUGCUCCUCUGACGUUAGCGGCGGACGGGUGAGUAACACGUGGAUAAACUACCUAUAAGACUGGGAUAACUUCGGGAAACCGGAGCUAAUACCGGAUAAUAUAUUGAACCGCAUGGUUCAAUAGUGAAAGACGGUUUUGCUGUCACUUAUAGAUGGAUCCGCGCCGCAUUAGCUAGUUGGUAAGGUAAUGGCUUACCAAGGCAACGAUGCGUAGCCGACCUGAGAGGGUGAUCGGCCACACUGGAACUGAGACACGGUCCAGACUCCUACGGGAGGCAGCAGUAGGGAAUCUUCCGCAAUGGGCGAAAGCCUGACGGAGCAACGCCGCGUGAGUGAUGAAGGUCUUCGGAUCGUAAAACUCUGUUAUUAGGGAAGAACAAAUGUGUAAGUAACUAUGCACGUCUUGACGGUACCUAAUCAGAAAGCCACGGCUAACUACGUG
rnacentral:rRNA from 1 species